rnacentral:rRNA from 1 species
CAGCAGUAGGGAAUCUUCCACAAUGGGCGCAAGCCUGAUGGAGCAACACCGCGUGAGUGAAGAAGGGUUUCGGCUCGUAAAGCUCUGUUGUUAAAGAAGAACACGUAUGAGAGUAACUGUUCAUACGUUGACGGUAUUUACCAGAAAGUCACGGCUAACUACGUGCCAGCAGCCGCGGUAAUACGUAGGUGGCAAGCGUUAUCCGGAUUUAUUGGGCGUAAAGAGAGUGCAGGCGGUUUUCUAAGUCUGAUGUGAAAGCCUUCGGCUUAACCGGAGAAGUGCAUCGGAAACUGGAUAACUUGAGUGCAGAAGAGGGUAGUGGAACUCCAUGUGUAGCGGUGGAAUGCGUAGAUAUAUGGAAGAACACCAGUGGCGAAGGCGGCUACCUGGUCUGCAACUGACGCUGAGACUCGAAAGCAUGGGUAGCGAACAGGAUUAGAUACCCUGGUAG